GGAUAACCUACCCUUAGGACUGGGAUAACCCUGGGAAACUGGGGCUAAUACCGGAUAGGCAAUUUUUCCUGUAAUGGUUCUUUGUUUAAAUGUUUUUUCGCCUAAGGAUGGGUCUGCGGCCGAUUAGGUAGUUGGUUAGGUAAUGGCUUACCAAGCCGUUGAUCGGUACGGGUUGUGAGAGCAAGAGCCCGGAGAUGGAACCUGAGACAAGGUUCCAGGCCCUACGGGGCGCAGCAGGCGCGAAACCUCCACAAUGUGAGAAAUCGCGAUGGGGGGAUCCCAAGUGCCAUUCUUAACGGGAUGGCUUUUCAUUAGUGUAAAAAGCUUUUGGAAUAAGAGCUGGGCAAGACCGGUGCCAGCCGCCGCGGUAACACCGGCAGCUCUAGUGGUAGCAACUUUUAUUGGGCCUAAAGCGUCCGUAGCCGGUUUAAUAAGUCUCUGGUGAAAUCCUGUAGCUUAACUGUGGGAAUUGCUGGAGAUACUAUUAGACUUGAGACCGGGAGAGGUUAGAGGUACUCCCAGGGUAGAGGUGAAAUUCUGUAAUCCUGGGAGGACCGCCUGUUGCGAAGGCGUCUAACUGGAACGGUUCUGACGGUGAGGGACGAAAGUUAGGGGCGCGAACCGGAUUAGAUACCCGGGUAGUCCUAACUGUAAACGAUGCGGACUUGGUGUUGGGGGUGGCUUUGAGCUGUUCCAGUGCCGAAGGGAAGCUGUUAAGUCCGCCGCCUGGGAAGUACGGUCGCAAGACUGAAACUUAA
rnacentral:rRNA from 1 species